AUGAGGAUGAUGAGCACGACGAUGUUGAUGAUGGCCACCUUGCGCCAGCUCUUCUUGAUGCCGGCCAGGACGCCGGCCUUGCACGAGUCGCACUGGAAGCACAGCGUCUGCUGGUCGUUGCUCCAUUUGAGGCAGUCGGGGUCGGUCACCACGGUGGGGACGCCGGGGUUCGCGCUCCAGUAUGUCUCGUUGUUGUAG
rnacentral:rRNA from 1 species